CACGUAGGGGGCAAGCGUUGUCCGGAUUUAUUGGGCGUAAAGAGCUCGUAGGCGGUUCGGUAAGUCGGGUGUGAAACCUCCAGGCUCAACCUGGAGACGCCACCCGAUACUGCUGUGGCUAGAGUCCGGUAGGGGAGCGUGGAAUUCCCGGUGUAGCGGUGAAAUGCGCAGAUAUCAGGAGGAACACCAGCGGCGAAGGCGGCGCUCUGGGCCGGAACUGACGCUGAGGAGCGAAAGCGUGGGGAGCAAACAGG
rnacentral:rRNA from 1 species